GAUCAAUUAUUUCCACAACCAUUUAAGCAAUUUACUUUUGAAAGCAGGUGAUCUCGUUAGCGGUUGAAAAGCUACGUGAAGUGAAGAAGCCUCCAAUUCAGUGAGUCUAUAAGAAAGGCGAUCUCUGGCUGGAAAGAGGUCGAAGCUGCUGAAAAAUCUCUUUGGGAGAAAAAAGAUCGAAUAUAGACAGGAUCAUCUUCACAGACGACCUUAAAUGACAACUCAAGAAUGGGAGCAAUCGAAGUUUAAUCAAAAGACGUCUAGCCAGAAAAGACUAAAGAUUCUCGAAAAGUGCAACCUCGUUUUUCCGACGGAGUCAAGAAGUUAAGUUAACGCUUUGUCGCAAGUGACACGUUUUGGCCGUUGAAAAUGCUGUUUUCCGUUACCCAAGUCAUGGUUGUUGUGUUACUAUUAGCCGCCACCACGGGCAAAUCGACCCACAGACUACAACAACCUUCGGACUGCCGAAAAUCGAAAGGCUACCUCAUCAUGGGGAAGGCCAACUGUAGCUUCAGAAUUACAACUUUUGGUUGUCGAGGCGGCUGCUUGUCGUCGGCGAAACCUUUCAGCUAUGGAACUGGAUUUGCUUCGAGUUGUGGGUGCUGUGCACCUAUCGAAGAUACUAUUGAAGAAAAAACGGUAACCUGUUGGGGGGAAAGGAAAGUGAUUCGCUAUCCAGUGGCAAAAAGAUGUGCCUGCAGAACAUGCAACUGACAGAGUCUCAUUUUGUCUAUUCUUGGUCGAAUUGUAGCUUAAUUCAAAACAGCGACUGAGCAAUAAGUCAUCAAAAGGAAUUUAAGAUAGCAGAUGUAUUUCAGGUUUUGAUGCGUUUCCGAAGGUAACCCCACAACAAGACCUGAAACUUUGUUAAAAAAGUUCUAUCGACAACAGGUUUAAGGUGAACACUAAUUUAAAAGUUAACGCUGCCGUAUUUAUGGCCAUGUAUUAUAUUUAUGAUUCAUUUUUGUAACCAGCUAUUUGAACGUACAGUUAGCUUACAAUACCUUUAUAAGUGUCAAUCAAGUGCAGAGGAUAUUGUGCUUCGUACAAUUGCACAUUUAAUGAAAACCAACUGGAGAACAACUUACAGGAGAUUAUGCAAUAGUGGUGCAACUUCUCAAUAUGUUGAUGGAAAGCGGUCGCAUAAAAAGCCAUUAAGAGAAAUUGGAGUGAAAAUCAUGCGAUAAUCUCUUCAGGGUAUAAUCCAAUAUUAAAUGAGAUAUUUGCGAUUUUAACGGUUUGGCAUCUGUCAAGAUGUUUUUCAUUGGAAAAGACAAUUAACAUUAAUGUGAAAGAGACCAUUUUUGCCUUACGGCAAGUUUCGAUUUCACGACCAAUUUACGUAUAUUGUUUUUGUUCGCAAACCUGCCUGAAAUAUCAUCGAUCCAAAAGAAAAAGAGACUGAACAAAAGCAAACACGGUUAGGGGACACUAUAAGAUAACAGAGGCGACAGCCUUUUACAUAUGUGCAUAAAAGGGUUGAUUACGUAGGGAUUGUAUGUAUAUAACCUUAAACCUACCACAGGUAAUUGUAAAUAAUCUAAAUAAAUGUUUUCCCAUUAAAUCCUUGUAAUAAGGAAAUUCAGACCUAAUGAAAAUAGUCCGUAAAAUCCCUAGUUAAUGUUUAUUUAAAUGCUUCCUUUGUUUUUGGUUGUAAUGGUAAGCAGCUAUUGGCGAUCAAGAGCCUUCUCUCCACUCUCCCCAAAGUGGCAACUGAAAAUUUUCGCUAAAUCGGAUAUUUGUACCAGCUCCUAGAUAAAUGGCUUUAUUGGGAGGUCUCACAAACUUUCACCCACUGAAAUGCUACUUCAGUCGUGCAGGUGUAUUCUCAGUUGUACCAAAAUGUAGAGAUUUGUUUUCUCGAUGGCCUACAGUAUACCCUGAGUCCUACAGACGCCUGUUUAGAUGAAGACUACGAUAAUUUUCUGCUCAAUAAAGUUUUAAGCUCUCUGAAAACUCCAAGCUUGCAAUUUCUAACGAUAGAAAUCAUUUACCUCAUAGGAAAGAGGAACUAUUACCAUUAUAAUUAAAAUAUAAUGACCUUAACUGGUAUUGUAUUUAUUGGAUUUCAUUAGCAAAGAAAAAACGGGCGACCGGUAUCUGGUAUAUGUAAAGAAAGCUUCGGAAGAAACACAAUAAAGUGCUACUCUGGUAGAAA
rnacentral:lncRNA from 1 species